ACCUUACGACAUUCCACCAUUAUGACGUGUUCCUGCCCUGCCCCAACUGAUCAAUCGACCCUGUGACAUUCUUCUGGACAAUGAGUCCCAUCAUCUCUCCACCAUGCACCUUGUGACUCCCUCCUCUGCUGACAACAGAUAACCACCUUUAACUGUAACUUUCCACAGCCUACCCCAGCCCUAUAAAGCUGCCCCUCUCCUAUCUCCCUUCGCUGACUCUCUUUUCAGACUCAGCCCACUUGCACCCAAGUGAAUUAACAGCCUUGUUGCUCACACAAAGCCUGUUUAGGUGGUCUUCUAUACGGACAUGCUUGACACUUGGUGCCAAAAUCUGGGCCAGGGGGACUCCUUCGUGAGACCGGCCCCCUGUCCUGGCCCUCAUUCCGUGAAGAGAUCCACCUGCGACCUCGGGUCCUCAGACCAGCCCAAGGAACAUCUCACCAAUUUCAAAUCGGAUCUCCUCGGCUUAGUGGCUGAAGACUGAUGCUGCCCGAUCGCCUCAGAAGCCCCUUGGACCAUCACAGAUGCCGAGCUUCGGGUAACUCUUACGGUGGAGGGAUCUGCAAUCAGAACUAUUGAACUUCUCCAUUCAGACCGCCACUCACACCUAUGGGAAAAGGGUAAUGUAUCAUCGGCUUAGCAACAGGGAAUACUAUUCGUAUGAUGGAAAAUGGGGACAAAAGGCUUUGGUACAUAAAACAUUAUUCCUUCCUUGGCCUAAAAACUCAUCGCCACCUACAUUAAAGCUAAUAUGCCUGAUUACUGUUUUUAGAGAACUUAUUUUAUUAGGGCAGUUCCAAGCUCAAAAAUACGCUAACUGGCACCUUGUUAGCUACAUAAAAAUGCACCCUAGACCCGAAACUUACUAGACUCAUUAUAAAAUUUUCUUUAAGGUGUCCACGCAGUCCCUGGUCACACUUGAAGCAGUCCGGAGAAAUAUCAGCCCUACCCCAGUAAUCCCCAGAAGGAACUUACACUUUUUUUUAAUCUUUUCCUACAACUUCAUAUUUUAUAAAUAAAAAGACAAAAAUGUCAGGCCUGUGAGCUGAAGCUUAGCCAUUGUAACCCCUGUGACCUGCACAUAUCCGUCCAGGUGGCCUGCAGGAGCCAAGAAGUCUGGAGCAGCCGAAAAACCACAAAGAAGUGAAACAGCCAGUUCCUGCCUUAACUAAUUAACCCACCUUACGACAUUCCACCAUUAUGACUUGUCCACCAUUAUGACUUGUUCCUGCCCUGCCCCAACUGAUCAAUCAACCCUGUGACAUUCUUCUCCUGGACAAUGAGUCCCAUCAUCUCUCCACCAUGCACCUUGUGACCCCCUCCUCUGCUGAGGAUAACCACCUUUAACUGUAACUUUCCACGCCUACCCAAGCCCUAUAAAGCUGCCCCUCUCCUAUCUCCCUUCACUGACUCUCUUUUCGGACUCAGCCCACUUGCACCCAAGUGAAUUAACAGCCUUGUUGCUCACACAAAGCCUGAUUGGGUGUCUUCUAUACGGACACGCGUGACAGGAACCUCAACCCAAAGGCAGUCUGAUGAGGUGUCUAAGAUAAAAGUAGCGGCACAAAGGCUUUUGUAAACAGAGGCGUUUCAUGUGGUUUUCCUUUCCUUUCCUUAUAUGUGAAAAGGUGACAGAAAAGAAAUCUUCCUAAAAGAGUC
ensembl:lncRNA UCA1 urothelial cancer associated 1